rnacentral:lncRNA from 1 species
CUUAAAAUGUGAGAAGCUGUUAACAGCCCUGAAAUGGUCAAGUAAGCUAUUCCAUAAAGAAGCAGCAGCAAAACUAAAAGAUUUUUUUCCAUAUGAAGUAGUUCUUACCUUUGGUAUUUUCAAAAUAUUACUGUAUCUAAAAGAAUAUUUAGUGUGUUUAAUUUGGAGUAAAUUUUGUAAACAUACAGGAGCCAAAUUAUUUAAAAUUUUAUAAGUCUCAAGUGCCAUUGUCCUGAUGCGUCUUACUUGUAGGGUUGGAACCUUUGCGUUCUCAAGAAGAGUUUCAGAGGAUGAUAAGUAGUCGUCAUAUACAAAUCUUAAUGCUCUCUCUUGUAUUUUU